rnacentral:rRNA from 1 species
CCUACGGGUGGCAGCAGUGAGGAAUAUUGGUCAAUGGACGAGAGUCUGAACCAGCCAAGUAGCGUGAAGGAUGACUGCCCUAUGGGUUGUAAACUUCUUUUAUAUGGGAAUAAAAUGUUCCACGUGUGGGAUUUUGUAUGUACCAUAUGAAUAAGGAUCGGCUAACUCCGUGCCAGCAGCCGCGGUAAUACGGAGGAUCCGAGCGUUAUCCGGAUUUAUUGGGUUUAAAGGGAGCGUAGGUGGAUUGUUAAGUCAGUUGUGAAAGUUUGCGGCUCAACCGUAAAAUUGCAGUUGAAACUGGCAGUCUUGAGUACAGUAGAGGUGGGCGGAAUUCGUGGUGUAGCGGUGAAAUGCUUAGAUAUCACGAAGAACUCCGGUUGCGAAGGCAGUUCACUGGACUGCAACUGACACUGAGGCUCGAAAGUGUGGGUAUCAAACAGGAUUAGAUACCCUUGUAGUC